GGCCCGUUGGUCAAGCGGUUAAGACACCGCCCUUUCACGGCGGGAUCAGGGGUUCGAUUCCCCUACGGGUCACCA
rnacentral:tRNA from 1 species